rnacentral:rRNA from 1 species
GACGAACGCUGGCGGCGUGCUUAACACAUGCAAGUCGAACGGAAGUAAAGAUUUCGGUUUUUACUUUAGUGGCGAACGGGUGAGUAACGCGUGAGGAACCUGCCUCUCAGUGGGGGACAACAGUUGGAAACGACUGCUAAUACCGCAUAAUGUCACGAAUCGGCAUCGGUUUGUGACCAAAGAUUUAUUGCUGAGAGAUGGCCUCGCGUCUGAUUAGCUAGUUGGUGGGGUAACGGCCCACCAAGGCGACGAUCAGUAGCCGGACUGAGAGGUUGACGGGCCACAUUGGGACUGAGAUACGGCCCAGACUCCUACGGGAGGCAGCAGUGGGGAAUAUUGGGCAAUGGGCGAAAGCCUGACCCAGCAACGCCGCGUGAAGGAAGAAGGCCUUCGGGUUGUAAACUUCUUUUACCAGGGACGAACACAAUGACGGUACCUGGAGAAAAAGCAACGGCUAACUACGUGCCAGCCGCCGCCGUAACAC